rnacentral:lncRNA from 1 species
GAGCGAGCCGGCGAGCGACCGAGGUAAAGGUAUCGCGCCUUAGACAGAGGCCACCAGAGUUGAGUUGGGUUUACAUUUUGAUAGUGGUUACCCUAUGUUCAUCUUUUGUAUUUGAUGACUAGUAAUGUAAAGAAAAGAAUGUAAUGUGUAUUUUGAGGUAAAUGUGAUGUAAGAAAGAAAUGAUGAAAUGAUAUGUAAGGAAUUCGAAAAUGAACAAGAUGGAUGCAAUGUAUAUGGUCAAAAACGAAUCAUAGUACAAAUGAAUGUUUAGUUUUCCUUUCUUUCACUAAUGGCUAUUGCUUACCCUCGUGUAAGCCGUUUGU